GACGAACGCUGGCGGCGUGCUUAACACAUGCAAGUCGAACGGUAAGGCCCUUCGGGGUACACGAGUGGCGAACGGGUGAGUAACACGUGGGUGAUCUGCCCUGCACUUCGGGAUAAGCCUGGGAAACUGAGUCUAAUACCGGAUAGGACUCCUGGCUUCAUGGUUGGGGGUGGAAAGUUUUUGCGGGUUGGGAUGGGCCCGCGGCCUAUCAGCUUGUUGGUGGGGUAAGGGCCUACCAAGGGGACGACGGGUAGCCGGCCUGAGCGGGUGACCGGUCACACUGGGACUGGGAUACGGCCCAGACUCCUACGGGAGGCAGCAGUGGGGAAUAUUGCACAAUGGGCGCAAGCCUGAUGCAGCGACGCCGCGUGAGGGAUGACGGCCUUCGGGUUGUAAACCUCUUUCAGCUAUGACGAAGCGCAAGUGACGGUAGUAGCAGAAGAAGGACCGGCCAACUACGUGCCAGCCGCCGCGGUAA
rnacentral:rRNA from 1 species